AAUGAACGUUGGCGGCGUGGAUUAGGCAUGCAAGUCGAGCGAGAACCGUAGCAAUACGGGGACAGCGGCGCAAGGGACAGUAAUGUGUAGAUCAUCUGCCCUCAGGUCCGGGAUAGCUGCGGGAAACUGCAGGUAAUACCGGAUAACAUCCCCGGAUCAAAGGUGUGAUUCCGCCUGAGGAUGAGUCUACAUCCUAUUAGCUAGUUGGUAGGGUAACGGCCUACCAAGGCGAUGAUGGGUAGCGGGUGUGAGAGCACGACCCGCGUCAUUGGGACUGAGACACUGCCCAGACACCUACGGGUGGCUGCAGUCGAGAAUCUUCGGCAAUGGACGCAAGUCUGACCGAGCGACGCCGCGUGUGGGAUGAAGGCCUUCGGGUUGUAAACCACUGUCAGAGGGGAUGAAAUGCAGGUGGGUUCUCCCAUCUGUUUGACAUAGCCUCAGAGGAAGGACGGGCUAAGUUCGUGCCAGCCGCCGCGGUAACAC
rnacentral:rRNA from 1 species